rnacentral:rRNA from 1 species
UACGGAGGGUGCAAGCGUUGUCCGGAUUUAUUGGGUUUAAAGGGUGCGUAGGCGGCUUUUUAAGUCAGUGGUGAAAUCCUGCAGCUUAACUGUAGGCGUGCCAUUGAUACUGGAAGGCUUGAGUACAGACGAGGUUGGCGGAAUUUAUGGUGUAGCGGUGAAAUGCAUAGAUACCAUAAAGAACACCGAUUGCGAAGGCAGCUAACUAGGCUGUAACUGACGCUGAGGCACGAAAGUGUGGGGAUCAAACAGG